rnacentral:sRNA from 1 species
CUCAUGGCGCGUCCCGCCGCCUCGGAUGCGCCAGUGCGGCAUGAUCUGCGAAAUCUUCGCCCUCGCGCGGAUCAUGCCGCGAA